UACGGAGGGUGCAAGCGUUAUCCGGAUUCAUUGGGUUUAAAGGGUACGUAGGCGGAAUGAUAAGUCAGUGGUGAAAGCCCGCAGCUUAACUGCGGAAUUGCCAUUGAUACUGUUGUUCUUGAGUGCAGUUGAGGUAGGCGGAAUGUGGCAUGUAGCGGUGAAAUGCAUAGAUAUGCCACAGAACACCGAUUGCGAAGGCAGCUUACCAAACUGUUACUGACGCUGAGGUACGAAAGCGUGGGGAGCAAACAGG
rnacentral:misc_RNA from 1 species